rnacentral:lncRNA from 1 species
AAUUAAAAAAAAAAAGGAAAAAAAUCGAUCCAAAUUCUCAUUUAUUCGCAGAUCUUUAACCGAUAUGACAGAAGGAUGGAGUGACGGCUAGGAUGACAGAAACCCUAUGGGCUCAUCCUGGGAGUCUUUGCCAUCUGUGACGCCUUCACAACAACCACCUGCAGCAACAAUUCGGCAAAUAGAUCUGGCCAUCAUCAGGCAAGCCGUCGACCGUGGGAAACAGAUCAAUACAGAAAACUCGAGUGAUUUAAAAGUGGCCAUACUGCUACCUGCUGGAAUGAGUAUGCCCAGGUGUAUUCAAGUGCAGUUGGCU